rnacentral:rRNA from 1 species
AGGAUUAACGCUGGCGGCGUGCCUAAUACAUGCAAGUCGAACGGACCUUUAUUUUUGAGAACUCCCUUAUAGGAUGUCUCAUAAAUAAUGGUUAGUGGCGGACGGGUGAGUAACACGUUGGUACCUGCCCUCUAGUGGGGAAUAACUGGCCGAAAGGUCGGCUAAUACCGCAUGUGAUCGCAAGAUCAAAGCAGUAAUGCGCUAGAGGAGGGGCCUGCGUCUGAUUAGCUAGUUGGUAGUGUAAUGGACUACCAAGGCAACGAUCAGUAGCUGGUUCGAGAGGAUGACCAGCCACACUGGGACUGAGAUACGGCCCAGACUCCUACGGGAGGCAGCAGUAAGGAAUCUUCCACAAUGGACGAAAGUCUGAUGGAGCAACGCCGCGUGCAGGAUGACGGUCUUCGGAUUGUAAACUGUCUUUUAUUUGGGAAGUAUUAUGGCGGUACCAAAUGAAUAAGGACCGGCUAACUACGUGCCAGCAGCCGCGGUAAU